rnacentral:rRNA from 1 species
UAGAGGUCCCGCCUGCCCUGUGACCACAGUGUUUAACGGCCGCGGUAUCCUGACCGUGCGAAGGUAGCGUAAUCACUUGUCUUUUAAAUGAAGACCUGUAUGAAUGGCAUAACGAGGGUUUAACUGUCUCCUUCCCCAAGUCAAUGAAAUUGAUCUGCCCGUGCAGAAGCGGACAUAAUAACAUAAGACGAGAAGACCCUAUGGAGCUUUAGGCAAAAGACCAUGCAUGUAAAGAAAGCACAACAAGCAAAAGAAAUUAAAAGCAAUCAAAACUAAAGUACCAAUGGUCCAAGUGCCUUCGGUUGGGGCGACCAUGGAGGAAAACAAAGCCUCCAAGUGGAAAGGAGCAUAUCCUAAACCAAGAAGUACACUUCUAAGUAACAGAACAUCUGACCAACAAUGACCCAGACAACCAAGUCUGAUCAACGAACCAAGUUACCCUAGGGAUAACAGCGCAAUCCUUUCCCAGAGUCCAUAUCGACGAAAGGGUUUACGACCUCGAUGUUGGAUCAGGACAUCCUAAUGGUGCAGAAGCUAUUAAGGGUUCGUUUGUUCAACGAUUAAUAGUCCUAC